ACGUAGGGGGCGAGCGUUAUCCGGAUUUACUGGGCGUAAAGAGCGCGUAGGCGGUUCCGUAAGUUGGUUGUGAAAGUUCGAGGCUCAACCUCGAAACUGCGUCCAAUACUGCGGGGCUGGAGUGCAAGAGAGGCAAGUGGAAUUUGCAGUGUAGUAGUGAAAUGCGUAGAUAUUGCAAGGAACACCAGUGGCGAAGGCGGCUUGCUAGCUUGUAACUGACGCUGAGGCGCGAAAGCUAGGGGAGCGAACGGGA
rnacentral:rRNA from 1 species